rnacentral:rRNA from 1 species
UACGGAGGGGGCUAGCGUUGUUCAGAUUUACUGGGCGUAAAGGGCGCGUAGGCGGACCAUCAAGUCAGGGGUGAAAGGCCUGGGCUCAACCCGGGAAUUGCCUUUGAAACUGAAGGUCUAGAGUACGAGAGAGGUUAGCGGAAUUCCCAGUGUAGAGGUGAAAUUCGUAGAUAUUGGGAAGAACACCAGUGGCGAAGGCGGCUAUCUGGCUCGGUACUGACGCUGUGGCGCGAAAGCGUGGGGAGCAAACAGG